rnacentral:rRNA from 1 species
AUUGAACGCUGGCGGCAGGCCUAACACAUGCAAGUCGAGCGAGCGGCGGACGGGUGAGUAAUGUCUGGGAAACUGCCUGAUGGAGGGGGAUAACCACUGGAAACGGUAGCUAAUACCGCAUACCAUCUGAUGUGCCCAGGUGGGAUUGGCUAGUAGGUGGGGUAACGGCUCACCUAGGCGACGAUCCCUAGCUGGUCUGAGAGGAUGACCAGCCACGCUGGAACUGAGCCACGGUCCAGACUCCUCCGGGAGGCAGCAGUGGGGAAUAUGGCACAAUGGGCGCAAGCCUGAUGCAGCCAUGCCGCGUGUGUGAGGAAGGCCUUCGGGUUGUAAAGCACUUUCAGCGGGGAGGCGUUACCCGCAGAAGAAGCACCGGCUAACUCCGUGCCAGCAGCCGCGGUAAUAC